GGGCCCGUAAAGGUUUCGACGGGGAUUUGGACAUAGGAUAAGCGUAGCGGGCUGAGCAAUCCUGAUAAAGGCUCAACUUAAAAUUAAACGCAGACGAUAAAAAGUACGCGCUGGCAGCCUAACCGCUGCUGAUGCCGCAUAAGCGGCCCGUCACAUACGGAAGGACCACGGUCCGUAUCUGGCGUCAAACAAGUGGUGAACUUGCAUCGGUCGUUCGCUCUUGAGCCGAUCAAGCAAAAAAGGGCUACUAAGACGCGCAGCCUGUUUGUGGGCGGCGCGCCUUGGGAAUAAAUAAACACAAACUACCUACGUAGAAGGUCCUAUGAAUGGGUUUUCGGACAGGGGUUCAAUUCCCCUCGGGUCCACCA
rnacentral:tmRNA from 1 species